rnacentral:rRNA from 1 species
GCACUAUAGGAGCGGCCGAUAUCGGAUUAGCUAGUUGGCGGGGUAAUGGCCCACCAAGGCGACGAUCCGUAGCUGGUCUGAGAGGACGACCAGCCACACUGGAACUGAGACACGGUCCAG